GACGUAGGGCGCGAGCGUUGUCCGGAUUUAUUGGGCGUAAAGAGCUCGUAGGCGGCUUGUCGCGUCGACUGUGAAAACCCGUGGCUCAACCAUGUGGUCUGCAGUCGAUACGGGCAGGCUAGAAUUCGGUAGGGGAGACUGGAAUUCCUGGUGUAGCGGUGAAAUGCGCAGAUAUCAGGAGGAACACCAAUGGCGAAGGCAGCUCGCUGGGACGGUACUGACGCUGAGGCGCGAAAGCUAGGGGAGCGAACGGG
rnacentral:rRNA from 1 species